AUACGGAGGGGGCUAGCGUUGCUCGGAAUUACUGGGCGUAAAGGGCGCGUAGGCGGACUUUUUUAGUCAGGCGUGAAAGCCCCGGGCUCAACCCGGGAACUGCGUUUGAUACUGGAAGUCUAGAGUUCUGGAGAGGGUGGUGGAAUUCCCAGUGUAGAGGUGAAAUUCGUAGAUAUUGGGAAGAACACCGGUGGCGAAGGCGGCCACCUGGCCAGACACUGACGCUAAGGCGCGAAAGCGUGGGGAGCAAACAGGAUUAGAAACCCUAGUAGUCC
rnacentral:rRNA from 1 species